GCUUCAAUGGCCUAGUGGUUAGAGCGUCUGCCUCAGAUGCAGGAGGUCGUGGGUUCCAGUCCCUACUGAAUCA